rnacentral:rRNA from 1 species
UACGUAGGGUGCGAGCGUUAAUCGGAAUACUGGGCGUAAAGGGCGCGUAGGCGGCCACCGCAAGUCGAUUGUGAAAUCUCCGGGCUUAACCCGGAAAGGUCAACCGAUACUGCGGGGCUAGAGUGCAGAAGGGGCAACUGGAAUUCUCGGUGUAGCGGUGAAAUGCGUAGAUAUCGAGAGGAACACCUGCGGCGAAGGCGGGUGCUGGGCUGACACUGACGCUGAAGUGCGAAAGCUAGGGGAGCGAACGGG